ensembl:snoRNA
GAGCAGACGGUUAUCCCUCCGCAGCCUGAUGCUGUGGCUGCAGAGGGAGUCAGUCUGCUAAAUGAAAGAGGGGAGGCCCUGCCGUUGUCCAGCCCAGCCGGGCGCUGGUGCGGGCUGCGGGCCUUCCCUACACUG